rnacentral:rRNA from 1 species
UACGAAGGGGGCUAGCGUUGCUCGGAAUCACUGGGCGUAAAGGGCGCGUAGGCGGCUUAUCAAGUCGGGGGUGAAAGCCCGUGGCUCAACCACGGAAUGGCCUUCGAUACUGGUAGGCUUGAGACCGGAAGAGGACAGCGGAACUGCGAGUGUAGAGGUGAAAUUCGUAGAUAUUCGCAAGAACACCAGUGGCGAAGGCGGCUGUCUGGUCCGGUUCUGACGCUGAGGCGCGAAAGCGUGGGGGGCAAACAGG